AGAGCGAACGCUGGCGGCAGGCCUAACACAUGCAAGUCGAGCGCCCGUAGCAAUACGGGAGCGGCAGACGGGAGAGUAACACGUGGGAACGUACCCUUUGGUUCGGAACAACACAGGGAAACCUGUGCUAAAUACCGGAUAAGCCCUUACGGGGAAAGAUUUAUUGCCAAAGGAUCGGCCCGCGUCUGAUUAGCUUGUUGGUGAGGUAACGGCUCACCAAGGCUACGAUCAGUAGCUGGUCUGAGAGGAUGAUCAGCCUCACUGGGACUGAGACACGGCCCAGACUCCUACGGGAGGCAGCAGUGGGGAAUAUUGGACAAUGGGCGCAAGCCUGAUCCAGCCAUGCCGCGUGGAUGAUGAAGGCCCUAGGGUUGUAAAGUCCUUUCGACGGGGAAGAUAAUGACGGUACCGUAGAAGAAGCCCGGCUAACUCGUGCCAGCAGCCGC
rnacentral:rRNA from 1 species